AGCGAACGCUAGCGGCGGGCCUAACACAUGCAAGUCGAGCGGGGAGCAAUCCCAGCGGCGAACGGGUGAGUAACACGUGGGUAAUGUGCCUUCUGGUGGGGAAUAACCUUGGGAAACCAGGGCUAAUACCGCAUAUCGUGCUUCGGCAUGAAAGCCUUCGGGCGCCAGUAGAGCAGCCUGCGUCCCAUUAUUUAGUCCUAGUUGGUAGGGUAAUGGCCUACCAAGGGUACGAUGGGUAGCUGGUCUGAGAGGAUGAUCAGCCACACUGGAACUGAGACACGGUCCAGACUCCUACGGGAGGCAGCAGUGGGGGAAUAUUGCGCAAAUGGGGGAAACCCUGACGCAGCCACGCCGCGUGAGUGAUGAAGGCCUCGGUUGUAAAGCUCUGUCGGGAGGGACGAAGGGAGGACGAAUCUCUGACGGUACCUCGCAAGAAAGACACCGGCUAACUACUGUGCCAGCAGCCGCGG
rnacentral:rRNA from 1 species